rnacentral:lncRNA from 1 species
UAUCACCCUCCAGUUCUACAUCUACACUUUGUAUUGAGUCAUAAACGCAGUAUCUAAAGUUAAAAUAACUCGUUCGUUAGAAAAGACAGACAAAUUUAACUUUUCAUGAUAUAAACGAGCUUGAGAUUGACCUAUUAACUAAAAAAAUACGCUCAAGUAGCAAGGCAGUAGAUACAAACUAUAGAAUAUUCGGAUUAUAGUGAUGCAAGAUACAAAAUAGGAAGAUUGACAGAAAUUAAACAUCUAUCUACUAUUAUUAGAGAAACAACAAAUUCUAUCUUAUAACCAAGAAUCAAAAUCAAACUAAUAGAGAGCUAAACUAUCACAGGACCAACUGGAAAGAAAUACGUUAGCACAAAACUAUCAACAACGGGAAAAGUUGCUUCAAAACAACACGUUCAUAACAUGGAAAUAUAUAAAAAUGAGUAGAAGAAUGAACCUGAGAUUUCUUUCAGUUAAUAAAAUUUCAGCAGAUACACAGAUGGAACCAAACCGCAACCACGAUUGGAACUCAAAUCGGACAGGACUCUCGAGCAUGGACCUUGACACAACCUCGGAUCGGCACAACCAAUUUCGAACCCACACACAAACUCAAAUCACCUCCAUAUUGAAAUACCAAAAUCGAAAUUAAAGGAAAGCAGAACUCACGUGUGUGCGUGUGUUAUCACUGGUCGAACUUCCGGCGAGAUCGGGGAAUUUCCAAUGCAAGGUGGACGGAGAUAAUUGGUAUUGGAAUGAAAAAAUUGAUGGACUUCAAUGGGUGUUGUCGUUUGGUUCCAGUGGCUGAUCAUAGCUCUUGUUCUUGCUCUAAGUGUUUUUUUCGUUUUCGGAGAAGAUUGAUCUGAUCGAUCAAUUUUGUUACUUAGGGAUUCUUGCUUUCAUUUAUUCGACGCUUUCUAUUCUCUUUCCCAGUGCAUUUUUUUUUCUUUUUUUCCCAUUGGUAGAGAAUGGUUUUAUAGAGUAUGUGAAAUGAGGUGUUACGUGGGAGAGUUUUAUUUGGGGAGAAGGUGCUAUGUGGGGUAAUAUUU